rnacentral:lncRNA from 1 species
UUUUUUUAAUUUUUGGCCCAAUUUUAAGGCCCAAUAAUAUCAAACCCAUACCUCCUUAACCUAAAAACCUUUCUAUAUAACCAAAAACUAGUCUAAAACUACCUAGACCUAGAGACCUACACACCCGAGAGUACAACGUCGUUUUCAGCAAAUAAGAGACCCCCACCCCUAUCGACCUUCUUCUUCAGAGAAAUGAAGCAGCCUUCGAUGGGUUUUUUCUGAACAAACACCAACACCCUUUCCUCUUUCACCCUCACAAAACCAACAAAGGGAAUCCAUCACCUCCUUCUCCAUAAGACCAAAAACACCAGCAGACCCCUAAAAAAUGCAUCAGCCGAUCCCCAUUCUCUGAAUUUCGAAGAGCAGCGACACUCACAAAAGAAAAGGGGGAACCAACAGCUCUCAGAAUUUCGAUUUUGGGUUCGAGUUUGAAAUUCUAGCGAGCUUCAGGUUUGUCAGUGAUCGUUGUUCAUGGGUUCCAUUUCAGUUUCGUCCGUGUUUCUAUCGUUCUGCGGGAGUUCAAGUCAGUAGGGCCGGCCAUUGUGUGUCGUGGAUUGUGGUUCCAGUUCUGAUUUUGUGGUCCCUAUUUUCUUUCUUUCCAAUUCUCGGAUCCAGAUUUGCUAUUUGAGGAGGCUGUUUUAGUUAUAAUAGUGAAGACGACAUUUUGGUUGAGGUUUAUUUCUUUUCCUAAUCGAUAUACUUCACUCCUUAUUCUCUGAUGUGUUUUGUUAGUAUUUAGUUUGUCUAUUACCUAAUUGCAUUUGAUAAGUGUUCAGAUUUGAGUAAUUCGUUUGUAUAGUUCCUAAAGUGUGCUUGUUGGUGUGAAUUUAAAUGUCUGGAAUGAUACAUAAAUUAGUGAAAAUGGAUGUGCUUGGAUGUUGGUUAGCACUUUCUUUCAUAGCUUGGUCUAGUCAUCACUGAUUAUGUGUUGUCUAGUAUUUUUUAUAGUUUUGGUUAUUUGCCUGGUUUGAUCCCUCGAAUACUUGUUGCUGGUUUGAUGGAAUUCCUAUUUCUUAGUUCUUCUAUUGGAUCACUAUUCUUGCACUCUUUCGUGCAAAACGGGCUUGGGAGUUGGUUUUUCUUAAAAAAGAAUGAAAGUUGAGUUUAUUAUGUUAAUUAUUUUACUCUAUUAUUUUGACGUUAGGAGCAUGCCUAGGCCGUUAUUAAACAUAAACAUCAUAGCUGGCUUUAGGCGCGUUUAAAAUACAAUUGUGAUUGUGUACACGUUCGCGUAAUAUGCUUACGAUUCGAAAAAUCAAUUCGGAGUAUGCCUUCGCGCAACAUCGAUCAAACUUUCUUAAUAAUAAAAUUCUUGUUAAUAGGCCGCUAAAUUAAAUGUAGUUCUCUGAGCCAAUAUGUGCCAUUCAUAAUUGAAUCCCUAUGGUCCUCGUAUUAAUUUUACGACUUAGACAUUUAAAAUGAUGUUCGUAGUUUGCUUUUAGGCACGUUUAAUAUACCAUCGUGGUUGUGUACACGUUCGCGUGACAUAAUUACGGUUCUAAAAACAAAACCAGAGUAUGCGUUCGCGCAACUUCGGCCAAACAAAUAGGUACACGUACGCGUGACUCGUUUUAGGGUAAUUUCCUAAUUAAAAGAGGCAAAUGCACAUAGGUUUUAAAAUGAGUAAUUAGAAAAUUUAGUUAAGCCAAGUAUGAUCAACGCGGCCAUGCUAGAACCACGGAACCUGGGAAUGCCUAACACCUUCUCCCAGAUUAACAAAAUUCUUUACCCGGAUUUCUGUGUUCGCAGACCAUAAAUAAGAGUCAUCUUCCUCGAUUCGGGAUUUUAACAGGUGACUUGGGACACCAUAAAUUAUCCCAAGUGGCGACUCUAAUUUUUAAAUAAUAAUCCCGUUUCGAUUGUCUCUUAAAUUGGAAAAACUCCCUUAUACCCCUUCCGGGGUAAGAGAGGUGUGACAGUCACGACCCUAGUUCUCCCUACGUGAACCAUCAUGAUAGCACCUAGUCUCUACGACUAGGUAAGCCUAACAUUUGCGAAUAAAGGAACAAAAACAUAAAAGCUAUCAACUAAUAAGUAAAUUUAAACAAGGAAAUGCAAUGUCGCUCGGCAUAUACAAUAAUCACUUCCGGACAGUACAUAAACUCUCCCAAAACCCGGAAUGCCAUAAGUCACAAGCUAAAGAUAGAAACAGUCUUUAUAUACUCCAGAGUCUAAUAAAAGAAGAAAAUAUAAGAAGGGUUGACAUGUGGUGGAAUAGAUAGGGACUUCGAGGUCGGCGGACGCGGUAGAUAAACCUUGAAGUCUCUACAGUCGUCUUGUCUCACUAGUAGUGCAGCUGAUGUGAGGUACCUGGAUCUGCACAUGAAAAACAUGUGCAGGAAAGGGCAUGAGUACACCAUAACGGUACCAGUAAGUGCCAAGCCUAACCUCGGUCGAGUAGUGAUGAUAUCAAGUCUGGACCCUACUGGUAUAAAUAUAAUGAAAUAAGAUAGAAAGAAUAUUACAGUAAAGUAAAUAUGGAAAUCUAACAGGGAUAGAACUCACUGGAAACCAACCGCUCAAAAUACAGUAAUAGCAACAAGGGUAUGUCCCGGGAUACCGUUCCGUAGUCCCAAACGUAAAUGUGUAGGGGGAUCUCUCGGAAUACAGUUUCGUAGUCCUAAAGUAAAUUUGCAGUGCUGGGGGAUUUCCCGGAAUACCGUUCUGUAGUCCCAAAGUAACUAUGCAGUACAGGGGAAUCUCCCGAAAUACUGUUCCGUAGUCCCUAAAUAAAUAUGCAGCUCGACCAAACAGAGAUAACAGUUACAGCAAGAAACCACUAUUUAGACUAAGUUCGAGUCAAAGAAGAACAUGAAAUUUCACUAAAACAUGCUGCACAAUGUUCAGAAAGACAAUUAAGGCAAUUAAGACAGUUAAGGCACGUAAGCAUGUUUUCCUAAGCUAUACAAUAUUGUGGUUUGGUCGCAAAUGCGAGGCUCGCAUUUGCAAGCCAGAUCUCGCAAAUGCGGAGUCUGCAGACCUGAAGCACACCAGCUAUGAUUCUUAUGUCCAAAACACUCCGUAGCAUAUCCGAAACUUACCCGAGCCCUCAUGGCUCCAAACCAAAGAUGCACACAAGUCUUAAAACAUCAUACGAACUUGCUUGCGUGAUCAAAUCACCAAAAUAACACCUACAAUCACGAAUUUAGCACAUAAUUAAAUGAAAUUCUCAAGAACACUUUGAAAUUUUUAUUUUAUCAACCGGUCGUCCGAAUCACGUCAAACCAAUUCUGUUUUUCAUCAAAUUUCACAGACAAGUCUUAAAUAUUAUGUUGAACUUGAACCGGGCUCCAGAACUAUAAUACGAAUCAGAUACAAACAAGAUUAAACAUUAAGAAUUUCUUAAAAACCAUUGAAUUUUCAGGCUCUCAGUUUUCAAUAAAAAUUCAUAGCUCGAGUUAGGGACUUCCGAUUCCGGGCAUACGCCCAGGUCUCAUUUUUUGAUACAGACCGACCGAUACUAUCACAAUAUGAAUCCGGGUCCGUUUUCCAAAAAUAUUGACCGAAGUCAACUCAAAUAAAUUUUUUAAUAAAAAUUUCUUAUUUUUAUCAACUUUUAACACAAAAGCUUUCCGAAAACACAUGGACUGCGCACAUAAACUAAGGAGGAAUAAAAUGAGGUUUUAAGGCCUUGGAAUAUGGAAUUUGGUUUUAAUUCAUAGAUGACCUAUCGGGUCAUCACGUUUAGGAAUCUUGCCUUCGGGUAAUCACUUUAAUAGUUAGAAUAUAAACCUUUGAACAUAUAUUGAUUAGUUUUUACACUAUUUGAGUAGUUGUGGAUUGUUCGGCUUCGAUUUGAGGGUUUGAGCACAUUCUCAAGUUUGGUAGAAGGCUUUGAGACGAGGUAAUUCUCUUUUCUAACAUUGUAAGAGGGAAAUUUCUCCAUAGGUAAACUUAAUUAAUAUGUGAUUAAUUGUGGGGGCUACGUACGCACAAAGCGAUGAGAGUCCGUACGUAGCUACUAUUCUUGUUAUGUUCGGGUAGUUUUAGGCUUACACCAUGCUUUGUGGACACCGUUAUCUAAUCAUAUUUGUUGAUUUGCAUUGAAUGGAACUAAGUUGAGGAUAAGAUUUCAAAGGUUUCAAGUAAAUUCUUAUUUUGAAAGGAAUUGAGAAACAUUUCAUUAUAUUUAUAUUUAACCACGUCGCAAGUAUAUUCCGCAAGCGGGGUGACUAUUUCCACUACUCUCAUGGGAGCAGGCGUUCGCCUCGGCAGGUUAAUAGAUGCAUCUAUGGUUCGGGCCGUUCAACCCUCGGCAAUGCACAAUUUACAUUUAUGUUGGAUCGGGCCGAACAUCCUCGGUGGAAUUUGUGUGUGAUAAUAGAAUUGGAAGUCCCUUUUAUAACUUGUAUAAGUUCAUCGUUGAGAGAUCAUUGGUUUUAAAUAAAGGAAAUGUUUUGGGUUCUUAAAUAUGAUGAAAGAAUUGUUCGGUUAUUGCCUGUUCUGGGUUCUAUUGUUAUCUCUAUAUAUAUUUUGUUUAAUUAGAAUUUCAUAUUAUUAUAUUGUUGGCCCUAGUAAGUGUCAAAGUCGACCCCUCGUUACUAUUUUUUCGAGGGUAGACUAGAUACUUACUGGGUGCAUAUUUUUAUGUACUCAUGCUACAUUUCUCUACUUAAUUGUACAUGAUUUGAGGCAGGUGCAUCUGGCCACCAGUCUGGCACGCAGAUUUGAUCCUUAUCC